AGCAGCCGCGGUAAUUCCAGCUCCAAUAGCGUAUAUUAAAGUUGUUGCAGUCAAAAAGCUCGUAGUUGAAUUUCGGGAUUGACACAUCGGUCGUGCCUUAAGGGGUAUGAACUGGUGUAGCCAAUUUCUCACCUUCUGGAGAACCGCGAUGCCCUUAAUUGGGUGUCGCGGGGAACCAGGACCUUUACUUUGAAAAAUUAGAGUGUUUAAAGCAGGCAUUUUGCUUGAAUACAUUAGCAUGGAAUAAUAAAAUAGGACGGCAUGAUUCUAUUUUGUUGGUUUCUAGGAUCACCGUAAUGAUUAAUAGGGAUAGUUGGGGGCAUUAGUAUUCAAUUGUCAGAGGUGAAAUUCUUGGAUUUAUUGAAGACUAACUACUGCGAAAGCAUUUGCCAAGGAUGUUUUCAUUAAUCAAGAACGAAAGUUAGGGGAUCGAAGACGAUCAGAUACCGUCGUAGUCUUAACCAUAAACUAUGCCGACUAGGAAUCAGACGAUGUUAAUUUUUAAUGACUCGUUUGGCAC
rnacentral:rRNA from 1 species